rnacentral:rRNA from 1 species
GGUUUGAACUGACCGACUGGACCUUUCCUUCUGGCGAACUAUUGUGCUAUUCAUUUAGUGCGAUAGGGAACCAGGACUUUUACUUUGAAAAAAUUAGAGUGUUUAAAGCAGGCUUACGCUUGAAUACAUUAGCAUGGAAUAAUAGAAUAGGACUUUGGUUUUAUUUUGUUGGUUUCUAAGACCGAAGUAAUGAUUAAUAGGGAUAGUUGGGGGCAUUAGUAUUUGAUCGU